CCUACGGGGGGCUGCAGUAGGGAAUAUUGCACAAUGGACGAAAGUCCGAUGCAGCAACGCCGCGUGCACGAAGAAGGCCUUCGGGUUGUAAAGUGCUUUUGGCGGGGAAGAGGAAGGACAGUACCCGCAGAAUAAGCUUCGGCUAACUACGUGCCAGCAGCCGCGGUAACACGUAGGAAGCGAGCGUUAUCCGGAUUUACUGGGCGUAAAGCGCGUGCAGGCGGUUUUACAAGUUGGAUGUGAAAGCUCCCGGCUUAACUGGGAGAGGUCGUUCAAGACUGUGAGACUGGAGUGCGAAAGAGGGAGGUAGAAUUCCGAGUGUAGUGGUGAAAUGCGUAGAUAUUCGGAGGAAUACCAGAGGCGAAGGCGGCCUCCUGGUUCGCAACUGACGCUGAGACGCGAAAGCCAGGGUAGCAAACGGGCUUAGAUACCCCAGUAGUC
rnacentral:rRNA from 1 species